UGCCAGCAGCCGCGGUAAUACGGAGGGGGUUAGCGUUGUUCGGAAUUACUGGGCGUAAAGCGCACGUAGGCGGACUGGAAAGUUGGGGGUGAAAUCCCGGGGCUCAACCCCGGAACUGCCUCCAAAACUUCCAAUCUAGAGAUCGAGAGAGGUAAGUGGAAUUCCUAGUGUAGAGGUGAAAUUCGUAGAUAUUAGGAGGAACACCAGUGGCGAAGGCGGCUUACUGGCUCGAUACUGACGCUGAGGUGCGAAAGCGUGGGGAGCAAACAGGAUUAGAUA
rnacentral:rRNA from 1 species